UACGUAGGGGGCAAGCGUUGUCCGGAUUUACUGGGCGUAAAGCGUGCGCAGGCGGUUUGUAAGUUUGUCGUGAAAUCCCCGGGCUCAACCUGGGAAUGGCGAUGAAGACUGCAAGGCUAGAAUCUGGCAGAGGGGGUAGAAUUCCACGUGUAGCAGUGAAAUGCGUAGAGAUGUGGAGGAACACCGAUGGCGAAGGCAGCCCCCUGGGUCAAGAUUGACGCUCAUGCACGAAAGGCGUGG
rnacentral:rRNA from 1 species